rnacentral:rRNA from 1 species
AGUGAACGCUGGCGGUAGGCCUAACACAUGCAAGUCGAACGGCAGCACAGUAAGAGCUUGCUCUUACGGGUGGCGAGUGGCGGACGGGUGAGGAAUACAUCGGAAUCUACUUUUUCGUGGGGGAUAACGUAGGGAAACUUACGCUAAUACCGCAUACGACCUACGGGUGAAAGCAGGGGAUCUUCGGACCUUGCGCGAUUGAAUGAGCCGAUGUCGGAUUAGCUAGUUGGCGGGGUAAAGGCCCACCAAGGCGACGAUCCGUAGCUGGUCUGAGAGGAUGAUCAGCCACACUGGAACUGAGACACGGUCCAGACGCCUACGGGAGGCAGCAGUGGGGAAUAGUGGACAAUGGGCGCAAGCCUGAUCCAGCCAGACCGCGUGGGUGAAGAAGGCCUUCGGGUUGUAAAGCCGUUUUGUUGGGAAAGAAAAGCAGCAGGUUAAUACCCCGCUGUUCUGACGGUACCCAAAGAAUAAGCACCGGCUAACUUCGUG